GCCCCGAUAGUAUAGUGGCCAAGUACGCUGCCCUCUCACGGCAGUAACCCGAGUUCGAAUCUCGGCCGGGGCG
rnacentral:tRNA from 1 species